CCUACGGGAGGCUGCAGUGAGGAAUAUUGGUCAAUGGACGCAAGUCUGAACCAGCCAUGCCGCGUGCAGGAAGACGGCUCUAUGAGUUGUAAACUGCUUUUGUACGAGGGUAAACGCAGAUACGCGUAUCUGUCUGAAAGUAUCGUACGAAUAAGGAUCGGCUAACUCCGUGCCAGCAGCCGUGGUAAUACGGAGGAUUCAAGCGUUAUCCGGAUUUAUUGGGUUUAAAGGGUGCGUAGGCGGUCGGAUAAGUUAGAGGUGAAAUCCCGAGGCUCAACUUCGGAAUUGCCUCUGAUACUGUUCGGCUAGAGAGUAGUUGCGGUAGGCGGAAUGUAUGGUGUAGCGGUGAAAUGCUUAGAGAUCAUACAGAACACCGAUUGCGAAGGCAGCUUACCAAGCUACUUCUGACGUUGAGGCACGAAAGCGUGGGGAGCAUACAGGAUUAGAUACCCGAGUAGUC
rnacentral:rRNA from 1 species